rnacentral:rRNA from 1 species
CCUACGGGAGGCAGCAGUGGGGAAUAUUGCACAAUGGGCGAAAGCCUGAUGCAGCGACGCCGCGUGAGGGAUGACGGCCUUCGGGUUGUAAACCUCUUUCAGCAGGGAAGAAGCGAGAGUGACGGUACCUGCAGAAGAAGCGCCGGCUAACUACGUGCCAGCAGCCGCGGUAAUACGUAGGGCGCAAGCGUUGUCCGGAAUUAUUGGGCGUAAAGAGCUCGUAGGCGGCUUGUUGCGUCGGUUGUGAAAGCCCGGGGCUUAACCCCGGGUCUGCAGUCGAUACGGGCAGGCUAGAGUGUGGUAGGGGGGAUCGGAAUUCCUGGUGUAGCGGUGAAAUGCGCAGAUAUCAGGAGGAACACCGGUGGCGAAGGCGGAUCUCUGGGCCAUUACUGACGCUGAGGAGCGAAAGCGUGGGGAGCGAACAGGAUUAGAUACCCUGGUAGUCCACGCCGUAAACGUUGGGAACUAGGUGUUGGCGACAUUCCACGUCGUCGGUGCCGCAGCUAACGCAUUAAGUUCCCCGCCUGGGGAGUACGGCCGCAAGGCUAAAACUCAAAUGAAAUUGACGGCUUGAGACGNGCGAGCGCACGAGGGAGAG